AAGCAGCACAGAAUGGUUUGUGGGUAAUACAGGGAUACAGGCUGUACUGUGCUGUUGCAGU
ensembl:miRNA